rnacentral:rRNA from 1 species
GACGAACGCUAGCGGCGUGCCUAAGCUAUGCAAGUCGAGCGGGGUGACAGUGUUGAGUUCCCUUCGGGGGACAAAGUGCUGUGACCUAGCGGCAAACGGGUGAGUAACACGUGAGCAACCUGCCCCGGCGACCGGGAUAACACCCCGAAAGGGGUGCUAAUACCGGAUAGUAGGCGUGAUCGCAUGGUGACGCCUGGAAAAGGGAAACUUGCGCCGGGAGGGGCUCGCGCCCUAUCAGCUAGUUGGUGAGGUAACGGCUCACCAAGGCGACGACGGGUAGCCGGCCUGAGAGGGCGAUCGGCCACACUGGGACUGAGACACGGCCCAGACUCCUACGGGAGGCAGCAAGCGGGAAUAUUGCGCAAUGGGCGAAAGCCUGACGCAGCGACGCCGCGUGAGGGAUGAAGGCCUUCGGGUCGUAAACCUCUGUUGCCGGGGACGAAGAUCUGACGGUACCCG